rnacentral:tRNA from 1 species
CUUGAUAGUUGGUUGUGGUUAGCGACUCUGGUGUGUUGCAAUCACGCCAGAGUCGCGUCAGUUCAGACUCAGCCUAAUAAGC